UGGCGGACGGGUGAGUAACACGUGAGCAACCUGCCUAUCAGAGGGGGAUAACGAUUGGAAACGAUCGCUAAUACCGCAUGACAUAGCGGAACCGCAUGGUUCUGUUAUCAAAGAUUUUAUCGCUGAUAGAUGGGCUCGCGUCCGAUUAGAUAGUUGGUGGGGUAACGGCCUACCAAGUCGACGAUCGGUAGCCGGACUGAGAGGUCGAACGGCCACAUUGGGACUGAGACACGGCCCAGACUCCUACGGGAGGCAGCAGUGGGGGAUAUUGCACAAUGGGGGAAACCCUGAUGCAGCGACGCCGCGUGAGGGAAGACGGUCCUCUGGAUUGUAAACCUCUGUCUUCGGGGACGAAACGAGACGGUACCCGAGGAGGAAGCCACGGCUAACUACGUGCCAGCAGCCGCGGUAAUACGUAGGUGGCAAGCGUUGUCCGGAAUUACUGGGUGUAAAGGGAGCGUAGGCGGGCAGGCAAGUCAGGCGUGAAAUAUAUCGGCUCAACCGGUAGCGGCGCUUGAAACUGCAGGUCUUGAGUGAAGUAGAGGUUGGCGGAAUUCCUAGUGUAGCGGUGAAAUGCGUAGAUAUUAGGAGGAACACCAGUGGCGAAGGCGGCCAACUGGGCUUUUACUGACGCUGAGGCUCGAAAGUGUGGGGAGCAAACAGGAUUAGAUACCCUGGUAGUCCACACC
rnacentral:rRNA from 1 species